rnacentral:rRNA from 1 species
AAGUGGAGCAAUCCAUGAGUACAGUGGCGUACGGGUGAGUAACACGUGACUAACCUACCCUCGAGUGGGGAAUAACCUCGGGAAACCGGGGCUAAUACCGCAUAACAUCUACGGAUCAAAUGCGCAAGCAGCUUGAGGAGGGGGUCGCGGCCGAUUAGCUAGUUGGCGGGGUAAUGGCCCACCAAGACGAUGAUCGGUAUCCGGCCUGAGAGGGCGCACGGACACACUGGAACUGAAACACGGUCCAGACUCCUACGGGAGGCAGCAGUGGGGAAUUUUGCGCAAUGGGGGAAACCCUGACGCAGCAACGCCGCGUGGAGGAUGAAGUCCUUCGGG